rnacentral:rRNA from 1 species
CACGUAGGGGGCGAGCGUUGUCCGGAUUUAUUGGGCGUAAAGAGCGUGUAGGCGGUUUGGUAGGUCCGCUGUGAAAACUCGAGGCUCAACCUCGAGACGCCGGUGGAAACCAUCAGGCUAGAGUCCGGAAGAGGAGAGUGGAAUUCCUGGUGUAGCGGUGAAAUGCGCAGAUAUCAGGAGGAACACCAAUGGCGAAGGCAGCUCGCUGGGACGUGACUGACGCUGAGACGCGAAAGCGUGGGGAGCAAACAGG